AGAAAGUGAAGAGAGACGCUGACGAACUUGAAGAGGGUUUGUGUGUGUAACUGUGUGUAUGUGCUGCUCUCUCUCUCUCCUUCUCUCUUUCUCUCUCUCUCUUUCUCUCUAUCUCUCUCUGCUUGUUGUGUUUAUCUCUCAGGUAGUUUGACCUUUAGCCUCAGUUUGUUAUGUAACAUCAGGGCCACACCUCAUCACACUGAUGACUGUGUAUGUGUAUGUGUGUGUGUUGUGUGUAUGUGUGUGGUUGGAUGAUGAGGAUUAAUGUGGCGUCAUGAAGUGAAUCAAAGACCACAAGAUGGAAAGAGACACUACGAUAAAAACUGAGUGUGUGAGAACAUGUUUUAAACUGUGAACACACUCACAGGAUGUCAUUCUAAGCAAAACUAGGUGUGUUAGUGUCGUUAGUGUAUGCAUGUUAGUGUAGUUAGUGUGUGUGUGUGUUAUUGUGUUUUAGUGUGUGUGAGUAAGCAUGAGUAAUCAGUCAGCUGUCACUGAAGUCUUUGUCUUACAGCGUUACAGUUCGAACCGCAGGACAAGGGCCUGAGGCGCUGCUGCUUGUGUGUGUGUGUGUGUGUGUGUGUGUGUGUGUGUGUGUGUGUGUGUGUGUGUGUGUGUCCAGCUAAGAUCUUAUUGUUAAAAUGGUUUCAAGAUGCUGGUUGUUUUACUCUGCGCUGUACUGUGGAUGAAAUCGGUGAAUGUGCAGAUUUAGUGUCCUGCUCUGAGAGUUUGGAUGGGGACACAUUAAUGUGUGACACAUGACUCACAUUCUGGGACUGUGGCCACUUUGGUUACUUCAGUUGACACCCUGUUGGGGGGGAGAUUGGCACCAAAGACCCUCUCUAUGUGGUAAAAACACUGCGUGGAUGCUCAGAGGCUGUGGAGCGUCAUUAAAACCUGUGAGUCAGUAACAACUAAGUCCAUCCCUCAGUGUGUCUUUAUUCCUCACAGUCUCACUCAAAGCUACAAACCCACACAUGUUAAAUAAACAGCAGGUAAUAUUGCUCUAAUGACAUAACAGGGCGGAUCAGCAUGGUCUGACAUACAGUCUAUGGUUUUACUCUAAACUGAACUGAAUAAUUCUAUUAUUUUAAUUGUUUUCAUGAUUUUAUUCAUUGUAAUGAUUUUAAUGGUUUUAAUAAUUUUUAUGAUUUCAAUGUAAUGUCCUCUCCCUUUUAAAGAAAAAAGCGCAGAAGAAUGAGUCAGAAGUAUGAAAAAGCUUUUUGAAUGCAGACACUUCACUGAGCUUAAUCACUGUAGUGAAACUAAAACCCAUAUCCUGACCCCACCUAUGGAUUUAUCAUUUUUAUGUAAAAUUAAUUAAUACAGAUUUUAUUUCAUUUUCUCAGUUAUUAAUCAAUCAGUCUUUAUUUAUGUAACACUUUUCAUACACAACCAUAUAGCACAAAGUGCUUUACACAGAAAAAAAAGAAAAAAGAAACAAAGAAUACCCAAAUCUACCCCAGCCCAACCCCUCAUUCCCACCCCAAAAUCUAAAUGCAUCAGAAACAGUAUUAAAAUGCAUAAACUUAAAAAGGGCUAAGAGGAUAAGGAAGAUAAGGAAACACUGGAGGUUUAGGUUAAAAUCUAAAAACAAAGUAGCAUAGAAUGAAAUUUAAGAAAUGAUAAAUAAAAUUAAAUAAAAACAACAGUAAAGAUACUAAAAUAAGAGCACCAAAAUAGCUCACUAAAAGACGAUCCUGUCAUUAAAUAAAUAAUAAACACGUUAACAAAGUUAAUGAUAUAAAAUUUAGUUAAAAGCAAGACUAAGAAGGUAUGUUUUCAGUUUUCUUUUGAAAUCAUUAGGAUCAAUAUCUUUGUAUACUGUGUCAACAUUGAUCACCAUUAUGUCCUGAGAUUUCUGUCAUCUAAAAUGAAAUCUUUCAUAGGUAGAUUUUCCAGUGAGCACAUCUAGGAAUGACAGGGACGCAGGAAUGAAGUCUAAUGUGAAAAUACAUGAAACCCUUUAGCUAUGUCCUCAUAAUGACAGCUGUGAGGCAGAUUAUUGAAGUAAUGAGUCAUCUGAAGUCAUUUUCUGGCUCUCACUCCUGUUGCUGGGAGAAACUCUUUCCCCAGAGUGAUUAAAACCAAUCAUGAGGAGGUUUUCUGCAGCGUUUCUACAGAAAACCUGCAUUUUAUCCGAUUCUCCAGCCUCCACAAACAGAACAUACAUGUGACAGAGAGAGCGGAGUCAAAGCGUCAGGCCUCCUCCUCCUCCUCCUCCUCCCUGCAGGCCUUCCUAUGAAAAGCGGAUGCAAAUCGUCGCUUCAAAGCUGCUGCAGCACUCUGUCACCAUGGUGCUGUGUUGCCACGGCGUCGCCAUGGGGACUCCGGGGUCACCUGUGAUGAGGUCACAUCCUGAUGAGCCUCUUAUGGGAAACAGCAGACGUUAAUCCACUUAUCGCUGGCCAGCACACACAUACACUUACACACAUAUACACACACACACACAAGUGUGCACACACACACAUGCACAUGCCAAGGAUAAGUGAGCAUGUGGGCUGAGAUGGAGGGCCUUCAUUGAGAAGCUCUGCGGCAGGAGGCAGAAUUAAAGGAACCAUCAGUGUUUUUAGGAUUUAUCUGACAGUCUCAUUAAAUCCAAAACAAGUUCAAUUAAAAAGUUUGCUGAGUUUCUGUUUCCCUUUACAGAGAUUAAAGACGCCAAACCCUGAGCCAGCAGAGUGACAGUCAAGUUUGAUUUCUUUAAAGCCUCAGUGUCUCAGGCUCUCUGCUCUCUGUCAUCCCCCUCUGCCUGUUGACACUAUGGCAAAAACACAAGUCCCUGUUUUAAUGCUUACUCUAUAAACAGCACAGAAGAUAUUUUCAAGACUAGUUUAAAUGUAUUCAGAGAGCACAAACCCUCGGCUUGGCUCUUACUGUCAGAAGCAAAGAAGAGAGGAGGAAAACAGCUGGAACUGAUGGAAAAACAUCAACCAAAUUGAAGAAAACAGACAUAAACAGCACACUUAACAUGUUAUGGGUUUUUCAUUGUUGAACUAAUUCAAUGGAAGAAAUAGUGAACAGAGAUUUUUAAGUUCCUGCUGAAGAUAUUUGUUGGUUUCUGCAUCAUUUUAAAAGAAAAUGAGAAAAUGGUAUUUUUCACCCUGAAUAAAAUGUUCCAUUAAAAGCUGACAUUUAAACUUUGGUAAAUAGGAAAACGCAGCCUUUAUACAAAUCUGUUUUACGUUAUAAUAAUAAAAAAAAAAUCAUCUUCCCAUCAGUCAUUCAACCUAUACAUUGCCUGGCUGCUAGCCAAGAUAUAGCUGGGAUUUUUAAUGAAGAUGGACAGUUAGGGUGGAUUGAAGUUGUGGCUACAAAGAAGUUCUAGGUCCAGGGUCCUGCUCACUCUGUCCAGAUCUGAUUCAUUGAGCUGGAGCCAACUUUUGUAUAGAUGUCCAAUUGAUAUAAAAGAUAUUAACCACAGAUAAUGUCUCGAAACCACUUAAACGUCAUGGGUCAGUGAGACAUAGGUGUCCUUGAUCCCUUUGUUAUUUGGGUUGGCUAUAGAGCCUUUGGCCAUGGCCAUAAGAGACCAUAAAGGCAAUUAGGGUAUAACUGGUAUUUAAUCAUCGAUAUUUGAUCUAUAACUGAUCAGACCAACAGGGCCCAUUGAUACUGUUGUAAUUAAUGAUACUGUCCAUGAUAAUCUGAAUAAAUCAGCUUCAUAAAUCUACAGCAGAGACAGAUUCAGUUAUUAAAUAACUCUUCUUUUAACCCCUUCUUUUCUUAUUGACUAUCUUUUUUAUGUGUUGUUUUGUGUAUUGUUGUCAUGAGUGGAAGAAGACAGUUGUAUGUGCUUAGAUUACCUGUGUGAAAGCCUAUCUGUCUCAGUGCUGUGGAUUAUCUGCCGCUGUGUUCGCUCUCCCUUUUUCUUAAUCCUGUUAUAUAGUCGGGAUUACACAGAGGAAAACUGCAAGUCACACAGUUGCAGUGCCAAUUUUCCCCCAGUGGACGUUCGUGGUAGUGCAACAACAAUAAUAAAUCAGUGACUCCAAAGAGCGGCUGUCUAUCGGGGAGUUACUAUUUAGGAAUUCUGAAUAGUUAAUUGUGAAGUUGAUUGUUUUUCCUGGUCCUUUGUUGUUCUGUUGGCUCACUUUAUUUGUUUCUUUGUUUGACUGUGUUUUCCCUCAAUAGUGUUACUUUCAUUACAGUUGUUAGUUCUGAUCUUUGUCACGUCCUGUUCCUGUACAGAACUUUGCAAAAUAAAAUACAUACAUUUAUUCAAAAGCUCUUUGUUGUUAAAACAGAUUAAACGUCUACUGAAACUCUUUCUGGUCAGCCUGCAAACAUAUUUAAUAUUCCUGUAAAGUUUGAUAUUUUUAACAUGCAUCCUGAUGAGAACUGACUCACCUUUGGAGCUGACCUCUAGUGGACAUGGGCGGAACUGCGAUUUUCUUAUCUGUGGCUUCAAUCAAACAUAAACUAAGAUUAGUACAUAUAAGCGUCUUGUUUUACUUGAAAUAUUAAACUUUUAUUGUUCUCGUUUUACAAAAUUUCUCUUCAGGGAGUUUUUUUUUGUUUUGUUUUAUACUCCACAUCAGACAGCUCUCUGUAUUCAGAUAUUUGACUCUGUGACAGGCAAGACUGAUAUUAAUCAGUCAGGGUAUCAAACCUCUGACGUUUCAGGUAUAGUUCUGUAAUUGUGCAACCUGAUGCGAGAAAGUGCAACAGUUUGUUAGGACAAAGACAAUACAGCACCUGAAGCUGCACAAAGGAAACACAGGGUUUCAUCAGGCCUGAUUGAAUUUAUUAACAGGAGGGUCCCUGAAAUGAGCUCCUCUGUAUUCCUAAAUGUGUUUCACAGAUGAAAGGAUCCAGAGCUGGAGUAUGAGUGUGUGUGUGUGUGUGUGUGUGUGUAUGUGUGUGGGUGGGUGUCAUGUUAUUAUCUAGGACUCAAAGCUGCACACAGGUGAAUGAGGUGGAUUACUGUUGUGUGAAUGACUCAGGCAGCCGACAGAACCAGCCCAUGCUGACCUCUAAAGGUUUAUGAAGCAUGUUUUAGCCUCUCAAAAUGGUAUCUGCUGAUAGAUCAACACUAAGCUUAGCUCUCCUCUGGUUUGACCAAUCAAAAUCUGUCAUUCUUUUGGAAAUCUUGGACGCUGCAUCCCCCUCAAUAGAGCAGAGGGACACCCUUUUAUCCUUCAUGUUUCAGAAAUCUCAUCAGAGGGUUAUGGUCACACUAUUUUCAGCAUCCUGUAUCUAUGAAGCAGUGGUUCUCAACUGGUGGGUCCCAACCCAAAAGUGUGACGAGGACACAUUCUGGAUGGGUCGCGAACAGCUGGUCAAAAAAGUAAAUAUUUAAUGCGUAUCUGAUGUUUGACAGGUCUUUUAUUUUGAAAAAUAGCUUAUUUUGAUAUACGUAAAAGUCAUUUUUUUAUUUUGCUGGUCUCCAUUUUGUGCAAUUUGAUAAGUGAUGUUUUCUGUAUAUGCAACCUCAGUAGUAUGGUAUGAAGGACCAUCAGCUCCUCU